AAAAUGGCGGCCUCCAUGAAAAGCUGUACUCUGCAAAGUUAUUUUGAUGCAUCAUGUGGUGUUCAUUGCAAAUAUCUGUGUGAAUUGAGUAAAAAUGAUUGAAAGGAAUUUACAAGAACAGAUUGGACAUGGAGCUCGUGUAAAUUAAGAGGAAAAAAAAUCCGUGAAACGAAAAAGUGUAGCUUGGGAAUAUUACUGUCAUCGUGUUGAUAAGGGUAUCAGCAAUUUUCCUUAUUACUGACAUCAGUAUGGUCUAUGUCGGAAGUUUAGCUUCUAAGUUAAUCCACCAGAAUCCAAGAGUAAGCCCUCAGAGAGGAGUUGCAGUCCGACUGUGUCAGCAUACUCAACUUGGAGAGGGAAGAUAAUGUACCGGCGCCACCGGUACAUUUGGACAGCUGUUUGAACAGCUUGAUAGAAUGAUCAAGAACUUGUUUGACUGAAGAGAUAGAAUGAAAAGGGAAGACCCAAAAGUGUUUUAUAACAGAAUGCGCAAGAUGGUUUGCAUCAUGGUUAUGAAGGAAAAGCUGACAGUAUUUUUGAGACAGCAAGAAAAACAUCAUUGCACACCACCAACUAAUAAGACUCCAAAGGAAUAACAAAGAUUAGAGUUCAAAGAAUGCUGGUACUUGGAUAAAGAUAAUCAGGCAUGGACUUUCAUCUCCCAUGGAUCUUCAGCACCUUUAGGUUACAGUUUUAUAUUUCACUAGAAGAGACUCAUAAAUAAACAAAGGACAGUCAGUUACUACAAAAGAGAAGCAUCGGAGAUUACUGAUAUUUUGUUCAGCAUUAUUUCAUCUUAAAAGAUGUAAACUAUUAAAAUUUUGUUUACAUCUAUCAAUUAAUGAUUUUGAUACAUGUACCAGUAAUUAAUAAUUUUGAUGUGGGAUAAACUGGUAAAAUUGAAUGGAAAAGAAGCAGAUGACUUGGUAAUGAUGUGUAAAAAACAUCAUUCAUUUAAUUAAUACAUGUAAUUGCAUGCAGUUAAAAUUCGACCAAAAUUCUUGUGGUGUAUAUUGAAAGGUGUAACCAAGAGGGAAACAUAAAAUGAUUUUCAUAUUAUCAUUAAAAUAAAAGUCAAGUUGUAUAUUAUACAAUUAUUUCUGUUUUUGAGGUCAUUACAAUGGUUUGGCUUGCCUAAAUGUAUGCAUUCACCGAUCCUAAAGAAGGAAGUAAAUAUUGUCCCUCGAUGGUUGUUGGAUCAAUAUAUUAACACCCCCCCCCCCCCUAAAAUAAAUAAAUAAAUGCAAUUUCAAUUUUUGUAUAAUACCCUAUGUAUCAUACCCAUAGGGUAUGGUGUGUGCGAAACAAGCGUGACCUUUUGAUUUGCAUUGGCUGUUGGACUUUAAAAAGAACUUAUAGGCUGAAAAAAACCCUCAAAAAUGGGAUAUGAUACUGUUUUUGUAAAUAUGGAUUAUCUCCCUUUUCAGCUUAAAAUUAGAACAUUUUACUGGUCAUGAAAAUAUUUUGAUUAAAUGAAAAGUAAAAUUGUGUUGUAUUUCAAAUUAGAAAAUUGAGAAAAAUUUUUUGAAAUGUCAAUUUAUUCUUACAUGCAUACCUGGUAUAUAUUCAUGAUAUGUGUAUAGGGCAUAGUUAUUGUACUGUGACAAA